CCUGAUAGCUCAGUCGGUAAAGAAUCUGCCUGCAAUGCAGAAGACCCAGGUUCGAUUCCUGGGUCAGGA
rnacentral:tRNA from 1 species